rnacentral:lncRNA from 1 species
UUUCACAGCUACGUCCCUCUCAAUGCUCCAAAAGCUCAAGUGUUGAUGGAGGUCAGGGAGUAGCUGCCGAGGUCGGAAAAGAUGCGCACACAUCUCGGGAAGCGCAACCCUAGCAAGUUCUACCUCUAACAUCGUGACCACGGCCAUGAUAUGGAGAAGUAUAUUCAGCUCCGAGACGAGAUCGAGGAGCUCAUCAGGCAAGGUCGGCUCGAUAGAUUCAUUCGACGUCGACCGGAAGGUAGGGAGGAUCGGUCGAGGGCCCUACCACAGCCAGAGCCAUCAAGGAGGGAAGAACAGCCUAA